AUUGGAGUUAUUGACUGAGUUUGGCACUGCUGGCUCAAUAUGUUUUUGCUGAUUGGAGUUAUUGACUAAAAUUUCAGUUCUUGGUUGCAAUUUGGAAACUCAGCUCUAAUAAAUCGAGGCAUUAAUUUUUAUUUUUUUAAAAAGAAAAGUGCACUGUAUGAAGAAAAAAGAAGGGAAAAGUGCACUAAAAUAAUCCAAUAUAUGAAAUAAAUCGAAAAAAAUGCACAUAAAAUAGAAUGAAUAGUGCACUAAAAACUAUAUAAAAUAGAAUGAAUAGUGCACAAAAUUAGUGUACGAUACAAAAAAUAAUUAAUAGUGCACAAAAAUAAUACACUAUGUAAAAAAAAAAAAUAGUGCAAAAAAAAUAUAUAUCCACGACAUUAACCCUAAUCCGUUAAUAAAAAGGUACAUAGUGCACUAAGUCUAUUCUUGUUACAUUCCACUUUCAGCGGCAUCCUUCCGCCAUUUCUUUGAAUUGGCGACAUAUUUCAGUCGCGUACUCCAAAAUCUAUUAAAAAACCAAUAACAUAUAAUUAAAGCUUAGAGCCUCUGUUUGGCCAAGCUACCAAAAAUUGCAAUUUUGAUAAAAGUGCUUCUCAAAAUGAAUAAUUUCUAAUAGAUCAGUCAAACAAGCUCUUAGUUCAUUAAGACGACAUACCUAAACAAACAGAUAACUAAAGUCAAACAGGCUCUUAGUUCAUUAAGACGACAUACCUAAACAAACUGAUAACUAAAGCUAAAAGCUUGUUUGGUCAAGCUGCCAAAAAAUACUAUUUUGACAAAAGUGCUUCUCAAAAAAAACAAUUUAUGGCAGAUCGGUUGUUAAGAGCCCAUACCUAAAUCAAGAGAUAACUAAGGCCCUAUUUGUCCAUGAAUAUAAAUUAAAGUUGUUUUUGAAAUUUUGUGAUAGAAGUAUAAGUAAAAAAGUGAAAACAAGUUUCAAAUAAUUUUCCGGGAUUGGAGUUGAAAAAUUCACGGCCAAACAAACAGAGUGUGUUUUCAUUGUUUUUGUUAAAGUGAAAUAAUUUUCCGAAAAAAAGGAAAAAAAUUUCUAUGGCCAAACGGCUACUAAAUCUUGAGCCUAAAAGCCCGUUUGGCCAAGUUGUCAAAAACUGUUAUUUUUUAUAAAAGUGCUUCUAUUUAUGCGUUGCAGGUGGGCUUGUAUAGGGAGGAGAAGAUGCGGUUUUGGGAUACUUUGGAUGAGGUGGUGAGAGGCGUGCCUAGCUCUGAGAAGAUUUUUGUAGCAGAAGAUUUCAAUGGGCACAUCGGGGUGUUACCGAGAGGCUUUAGCGAUGUGCAUGGUGGUUUUGGUUUUGGGGAGAAAUGAUGAGGGAGUUGCUCUGUUGGAUUUUGCGAGGUCUUUUGGGUUGGUCGUGGUGAAUUCAAACUUUUCGAAGAAGGAUGACCACCUGAUCACCUUACGAAGCGCAAUAGUCAGACCCAAAUUGACUUUUUGCUGCUUAGGAAAGGGGAUAGGGUGUUGUGUAAAGACUGUAAGGUCAUUCCGAGUGAGAAUCUUUCGACCUAUCAUAGGCUCUUGGUGAUGGACUUGGGUAUAAAGAAGGAAAAGAAGAAAAGGGGUGAGGAGGGUCGACCUAGAAUUAAGUGGGGUGGCUUGACGCCGGUGAAUGCGCUAGAGAUAGAGGAGAAGGUGGCGAGAAUGGGGGUGUGGGAGUGUAGGGGGUGGAUGGUAUGUGGGAUAGGGUGGCUAGGUGCAUCAAGGAGGCUGCUAGUGAGGUGUUAGGUGUUUCCAAGGGUCAGGCCGGUCAUCAUCGGGGGAAUUGGUGGUGGAAUGAAGAAGUUAAGAAGAAAAUGGAGACUAAGAAGAUGGCGUAUGAUAAGUUGGUUGAGAGUAAGGAGGAAGAGGAGAAACGGGUAAAUAGGGAGGAGUACAAGUUAGCUAGGAAGAAGGCUAAGUUAGCAGUUACGGCUGCUAAAACAGCAGUGUUUGAGGGCUUGUAUGUGGGGUUAAAGGAGAAAGGCGGGGAAAAGAGGUUGUUUAGACUUGCUAAGGCUAGGGAGAGGAAGGGUCGUGACCUAGGUGAAGUGCAUUAACGGGGAGGAUAGUAAAAUGUUGGUGGAGGACGAUUACAUUAAGAAAAGAUCACAAUCGUAUUUUCAUAGGCUCUUGAAUGAUGAGGAGAAUAGAGUUACUGUGUUAGGGGGAGCUGGAGCACUCAGAGGUGUCUUGAUUUUAGUUAUUGUAGACGUUUUAAGGUGGAGGAGGUCAAAAAGGCUGUUCGCAGAAUACGAAGGGGUAGGGCGACAGGGCCUGAUGAGAUUCCAGUGGAUUUUUGAAAGUUUAUUGGCGAGACUGGUUUAAGGUCGUUGACUAAAUUGUUUAACGACAUUUUCAAGACAGCGAAAAUGCCCGAGGCUUGGAGAUGGAGUACUAUGAUUCCUCUGUAUAAGAACAAGGGUGACAUUCAGAGUUAUAACAACUAUAGGGUAUUAAGUUAUUGAGUCACACUAUGAAGAUUUGGAAAAGAGUGGUCGAGUUGAGGUUGAGGAGGAUAAUGUCUAUUUCGGAGAACCAGUUUGGAUUUAUGCCCGGUCGCUCGAUGACGGAGGCAAUUCACCUGGUGCGGAGGCUGGUGGAAUAGUAUAAGGAAAGGAAGAAGGAUCUGCACAUGGUAUUUAUUGACUUGGAGAAGGCGUACGACAAAGUCCCUAGGAAGGUUCUUUAGAGAUGCUUGGAAGGGAAGGAGGUCCCGAUGGCGUAUAUCAAAGCAAUCAAGGACAUGUAUGAUGGAGCUAAGACCCAGGUGAGGACGGCGGGAGGAGAUUUAGAGCAUUUUUCUGUCUUAAUUGGUUGCAUCAGGGAUCUACUUUUAGCCCGUUUUUGUUUGCUUUGGUGAUAGAUGUGUUGACGCGGCAUAUGCUUUUUGCAGAUGAUGUAGUUUUGAUUUAUGAGACGCGGGAGGAGGGGGUGAAUGAUAAAUUAGAGGUGUGGAGACAGACCCUUGAGUCUAAAAGGUUCAGGUUGAGUAAGAGCAAGACAGAAUAUUUUGAAUGCAAGUUUAAUAACUUAAGGCAGGAGAACGGGGUGGUAGUAAGGUAGGAUUCUCAAGUUGUGUGUAAGAGGGAUAGUUUCAAGUAUCUCGGGUCCAUGAUUCAGGGAAAUGGUGAGAUUGACAAGGAUGUCUCCUACCGUAUUGAGGCGAGAUGGAUAAAGUGGAAGCUCGUCUCGAGGGUGUUUUGUGAUAAGGUGCCGCCUAAGCUUAUAGACAAAUUCUACAAGGUGGCAGUCCGUCCGGCCAUGUUGUAUGGAGUGGAGUGUUGGCCAGUCAAGAACUCCCACAUUCAAAAAUUAAAGGUGACGGAAAUGCGGAUGUUUCGUUGGAUGUGUGGGCUUACCAGGGGUGAUAGAGUUCGGAAUGAGACUAUCCGGGAGAAAGUUGGAGUGACUUCGGUGGAGGACAAGAUGCGGGAAGUCCGAUUGAGAUGGUUCGGACAUGUGAUGAGGAGGGGCAUGGAUGCCCCCAUUCGUAGGUGUGAGAGGCUAGCUUUGGAUGGUUUCAAGCGGGGUAGGGGUGGGCCGAAGAAAUACUGGAGAGAAGUGAUUAGGCGGGACAUGGAGCAAUUACAACUUACUGAGGACAUGACCCUAGAUAGAAAGGUCCUAAGAACGCGAAUGAAGAUAGAAGGCUAGUGCCAAUUUGAUUCAUUAGUGUAAGGUAUUACUUGGUGGAUAUAUUAUUUUGUUAUGCCAUCUUGUUUCAUGCUUUAUUACAAAUUUGUUUACUAUUCCUUGUGGGUGUCGUAUUUAUGUUAUGUCAUCUUGUUCCAUGCUUUAUUACGAAUUUAUUUAUUAUUCCUUGUCUUGAGCCGGGGGUCUAUCGAAAACAUCUUUUCUACUUCUCCGGAGGUAGUGGUACGAACUGCGUACAUCUUACCCUCCCCAGAUCCCACUAUGUAGGAAUACACUAGGUUUGUUGUUGUUGUCAAAAUAAUCAAUUUCAGAUGGUCAAACAAGCUCUUAGGUUGUAUUUGUUUUUUUUUUAAGAUUCAGAUGUCCGAAUCUAAAUGCGCGUCUGAAUGAUUAAGAUGUUAUUUCUAAAUCUGAAAAUUGAAUGAUUAAAACUGUUUGUUUUUUAACAAUGUACAAAAAAAAAUAUUUGUAUAUAUAAUAAAAUAAAAAUAUAAUUCAAAUAAAAAACUAAUUAUAUAUAAGAAAAGUAUGUAAUUUAAUACAACAAAAUUAUUAUUUGAUUGAAUUUUUUUGUUUUAUGUUUGUUAGUGACAGUGGAGAUGAUUUAUAAUGGUGGUUGCAGUGACAGUGAUUGGUGUUAGUUAUUAGUAAUGUUAGUGGUGAUAGUUGUGAUGGUUGGUAUUGUAGUGCCUGUUAUGAUAGUGGCGGUUGAUAGUGGUGGUGAUGGUUGUGAUGUGACAUUGUUUGGUGUUAGUAGUUGGAGGUGUUGAUUGUGAUGGCUGAAAAAUGAAUGAAUGAUGAUUGACGAUGUGUUGGUGCUAGUUAGAGAUAUUGUUAGUUGUAAUGGUAAAGAUGGUUGUUAGUAGAGAUAAAUUGUAGCGAUGAUAACGAUUGAAGUGAUGGUAGAGGUGACAUUACUAGUGCCAAUGGUGGUGGCCGCCGAAGAAUGUGUGGAGGUUGUGAUGUAUUAGUGAUAGUUAGCGGUAGUGCUAGUUGUGAUAGAUGAGUUGGUCGAUAAUAGCGAUUGACCGGCAGUAAUUGAUGAUGGUGGUGCUGUUGACGGCGGUGGCGACGUUAAAUAUAAUUAGAAUAAUAGAGGUAGGUGUGGCAGUGGUUGACAAUAGUGGUUGGUAGUGAUAUUUCUUAUCGAUGGUGGUUGUAAUGGUGGAGGUGGUUGUUGGUGGUGAGUGGUGGGGGGUGGUUGACAAUGAUGGCGAUGGCAGAGGUGAUGACUGAUGAUGAUGAAUAGAGUCACAGUGAAUAUUAUCCAAUACCAGAAUACCUUUUCAGAUUUGAUUAUAGAUCUGAAUAAUUAAGAUUUAUUCAAACGUAAUAAAAACUAAAAUCUUAAUAAAUAACAAAUGUACUUAAUGGUUUAAAGUUUGAACCGUUCAGAUCCAUAUCUCCAUAAAGUGCAAACAAAUGAGCCCUUAAUCUGAGACCAUAGACCUAAACCAAUAGAUAAUUGAAGCUAAAAGCCUGCUUGGCCAAGCUGCCAAAAAUUGCUAUGCUGAUCAACAUGCUUCUCAAAAUAAACAAUUUCUGGAUCGGUCAAACAUGAUCUUAGUUUGUUACCAACACAUACCUAAAAAAAAUCGACUUCCAAACUUCUUUUUACAAUCUACUCUUUUUGUCAAUCUAUUAAAUGUGUCAGGUUAUUAAAAACUGAUCCAAAAAAAAUAUUGAGGGAAGCAUGAAAAUCCAUGGCGUUGCCACUAAAAAUCUUAUCCGAUGCUUCCACUUUAUGAAUAAUGAAAUCCGUAUCUGAUGCCUUACCUUACUUCCAUUUUUUGUUUGAGAUAACUAAUAUUGGUAUAACUAAUUUCAGUAUAAUUAAUCCUAUUAUAACAAACCCCUGCAUAACUAAUUUCAGUAUAAUUAAUUCUACCAUAACUAAUCUCCGCAUAACUUGUAUUCCAAAACAAACCAAUUAACUAACUCUAGACUCAAUUCACAUGGAAGAAUGUAAUGCCAAUAGCCAAUCAGUGAAAGCGAAAUAAACACAAUUCACCAAAAUAAGGCUAUAAAACACCAUUGAUAUUACUGUUGGUGACAUACUGACCAUUCACACUAUAGUAAAAUCGUUCCUUAUUAAAGGCCAAUUUGUGUGUGACUGGCUAAUUGGUCACCUUCUCCUCUCCACAUAAAUAGAUUUAUCUAAUAUAAUACAGACAAUUUUAAUUUUAAAGGGAAGUUACCUAAACAAUGCGAAAAUACCAACAACGAAUCAACUUGCUUAGCAAAGCAUAAGAGGCGGCGUUUUGUAGGGUUUUAAGGGCAUUUAUAUAGUGUGUGACUUGAGUUAUGAAGAAGAAGAAUAACAGUGACGGCAUAGGGUUUUAGGAAUUUUAUUGGGUUGGACUACUGCUUGGAUUUGUCAAAGCCCGAUUCCAUUGGCCCACAGCCCACAAGCUUUUUUAAAAAAAAUGAUGAAUAGGAAAAUCUUAAUAGCUCGAUUGAUUAUCUGAACAUUUACUUUUAACUGAACGUCAUUCGAAAAGCUUCAAUUUGUUUGUAGGUUAAUUUGUUUAGCAUGUUUUGUCAUACUUCCUAUAGUAUAGCAUG
rnacentral:lncRNA from 1 species